rnacentral:sRNA from 1 species
CCUGCCCGAGUGCCAUGCUCGUCUCAGCCACUAGCUAGGAGCAGCCUGGGAGUGGCAUUGCCUCGACACAAACGUGGUGAUGGAUUUUGGAGUAUGGCAGCUGCUGCCAGAGAUUCAAGAGGUAAGAAUUGUGACAAAGGCCACUCUUUUUUCAUUGACACCCCAGAUUCCCCAGCCACGUUAGCCUACAGAAGUAUAAUUCAGAGAAUCCAAGAGUUUUGUAAUCUCCAUCAGUCAAAAGAAGAGAACCUCAUCAGUUCCUGAAACGAGAGAAUGUUCAGGACCAAGCAGUUACCCUGCGAGGCACCCACUGGGCAGCACAUCCAGCCAGACCCGACCAGCUCCGGGAUGGGGUGGGUCACAGCAAAAAGGGACCAGAUGCUGGUGUGGUCCAAAGCCACUUUCUCAGAGACACUUUAAUCAUUGAGUAUUUGUACACUUUUCUUUAGAACAUAUAUAAAGGGCAUUCUCUAC